CUCUCUCUCAUUCUUUCUCUCUUCUUGCAUGUCUCCUCUCCCCCUCUCCUUACCUCCAUCCUUCCUCCACUUCCUCUCCGCCUCACCCAUACCAGGGUCAGAGCAGCUAAUGAGUGUCCAGCAGCGGCCCGGCAGUGUGUGUGUGUGUGUGUGUGUGUGUGUGUGUGUGUGUGUGUGUGUGUGUGUGUGUGUGUGUGUGUGUGUGUGUGUGUGUGUGUGUGUGUGUGUGUGUGUGUGUGUGUGGGGGAGGAGAUCUGUCGGGCCCUGCCUCAGAUGUAGGUCACCCCUUGGAGCCCUGUUCAGGGUCUUGGGGGGAAAAAGAAGCAUCUGGUUCUCUCCUAUACAAUGAUAGUCCUGUUCAGUGCCCCACACACACACACACACACACACACACACACAUUGACGCAUCGAAACAUGCUGCCACCCUCAGAUGAAUUCCCCUGCCAUGACCCAUUCGCAUGCCAGUGCGAUGUCUGCAGCUUAGUCACCAAGCCACAGUUUGCCACAGUGACCCAGCUCCUGCUGAGGAUGUGGUUUAUUGCGCCCACGCCCAUCUCUCAGGUCUGCGCCCACGCCCAUCUCUCAGGUCUGCGCCCACGCCCAGCUCUCAGGUCUGCGCCCACGCCCAUCUCUCAGGUCUGCGCCCACGCCCAUCUCUCAGGUCUGCGCCCACGCCCAGCUCUCAGGUGUGUCUCUGGCGUGGGCGUAGGAGGGAGCAGCAGCUCUCAGUGAUUCACGUCCGCUUCCGUUUCAUUCAGUGGGAUGCCAUGAUGGCCUGUGAGUUCCAGUUAUGGCACCCCUCUUUAGCUGAUGUGAGUACUGGCGAAGAGGUGCUAGCAGAGGACCGCCACCAGAGAGAGAGAGAGAGAGAGAGAGAGAGAGAGAGAGAGAGGGAGGGAUGGAAAGGGAGGGAAGGAAGGAGAGAGUGAGGAGGGAGAGAGGGGAGUGAUGGCUUCUCGUCUUCCUGUCUGGCUGUUUGCACAACUGUCUGGGAACAGAAAGCUCGAUGAGUCGGCCUGGGUAUUCGACUGCACAUCCAGAAAGCCAACACCCUCCAUCUGAAACCAUGCUGGGAAUUCAUGUCUGGGCCUCCCCAAGGUUAAACCCUUGCAUGAAACCUUCUGUGCAGCUCAGAUAUGUGAAACUGUCUCUCUCGCUCUCUCUGUCUCAGACUUGACUCUUCAGAUACUACCUGAAUGCUGGACACAUUUCUCUUGUCAGCCUGAAUUCUGUCUGCGUCUCUGAAAGGUCUAACGCCC
ensembl:lncRNA